rnacentral:rRNA from 1 species
UGAGGAAUAUUGGGCAAUGCCCGCAAGGGUGACCCAGCAACGCCGCGUGGAGGAUGAAUGUCGUAAGAUUGUAAACUCCUGUUAGAGGGGAAGAAUAGUACCGGUUGGACCGGUAUAUGACUGUACCCUCAGAGAAAGCCCCGGCUAACUACGUGCCAGCAGCCGCGGUAAUACGUAGGGGGCAAGCGUUGUCCGGAUUUACUGGGUGUAAAGGGCGCGCAGGCGGGAUAAAAAGUCAGUGGUGAAAUCCUACAGCUUAACUGUAGAACUGCCUUUGAUACUUUUAUUCUUGAGUUCGGGAGAGAGAGACGGAAUUCCAGGUGUAGUGGUGAAAUGCGUAGAUAUCGGGAGGAACACCUGUGGCGAAAGCGGCAUUCUGGCCCUCACCUGACGCUGAGGUGCGAAAGCGUGGGUAGCAAACA